CACCUCCUUUGAGCACCUGCAGGGCCACAAGAAUCAUUUCCAAGUGCUGGAAAGGCACCAAAUUGCUGCCCAGGCAUCCAGGUUUGCACAGAAGGGUGGCAGAAAUGCGGUGUGACAGGCAGCCCCAGCAGGAUCCAGCCCACUGAGAAUUGGUGUGGAGUCAGCCAGGGCUUGUCCUGCUGUACCCUCCAUUCCUGGAAAAACUGGGAAACUCUUAGGAAAGCAGGUGAAUCUUUGUGGGAAAGAUUUGAAAGACUGGAUGGCAGACUGGAAAACCACAUUUCCCUGUCCUUGUGUCCCUGUUGCAACUCUCUCACCUAUAGCCAGGAAUUGCCGAACACUGAGUAUUUCACUGCUGAUUUUUGAGGGUUCCUCAUCUCCUGAGACCUGGAACUGCUGAGGGCUGAGGGCUGUGGAGUCACUGUGAGCUUUGCUCUGAAGGCAUGAACUCUCCUUAGGAAAGUUUUCCCAAAAAAACCCCAACAAAACCAAAACCAAACCAUCAAAAAAAAAAACCAAAAAAGGCACCACAACAACAAAUACUCCCCCACAAAAAAAAAAAAAAAAUUAAAAAGAAAGAAAGGAAACCCACAAAUAACAUGAAAGAAAAACCAAGCGGGGCCCAGGUGCCUGGAGGCUGGAGCCGGGUAUCUCACUCUUAAUGGAUCCAUUCAAUCUCCAUAAAGCCCUUCAGAAUGCAGAGCCCUGAGCAAAUGAGUUCCUGAGGAUCCCAGAGUGAGGGGUUUGGGAGAGGAGCAGGUGACAACAUUCCCAUUUCUGGGUUGGCUGCAGCCUGGGACA
rnacentral:lncRNA from 1 species